AGAGUAAUCUUCUGCAGUUGUAGAGAGUCAGUGUAGCUUCAUGCAAUACUGUUUCACAGCAAGUUUGUACAAAGUAUCAUUACAGGCAGGGAAUUAUAGGCCUAAUUGUGCUUUUCACUUGCUCUGAAUGUGACCUUAAACAAAGCAUUGUGUGUAAAAAGGGCAAAUGUUCUUUGAUAUGAAGCAUCUAUCAGGGAGUAGCAUUUUGCCUUUUGAGACUUUUUAGCAUCCAUGGGGGAGAGAUUAAAUUGCCAGUGUAUCUCUAUAAGGCAUGCCUCUAAAGAUGCACAUGGCGUUUAGGAAGGUAAAUUUUUUUGAACCAGGGAGGGACGUACGGAAAUAACUUUAAUGAGAAAAGGAUCUGCAAGGUUUCCAGCCCAGGCUCAGGCCACCCGGGCAUUAUGUGCGGUGAGGCAUAGCCUUUCCACUGCUGCCCGGGCCCACUGGAUAGCCCAUAGUUGGUCGUGUAGUUCCGAGCUAGUCAGAGCGCUUAGCUAUCGCUCCUCGAGAAGGUCCUGUUCUAUCUUGUCCUCUAGAUAUAUCGAUCUGAUCUGUGUGCACUUCCAUGAGAUCUGUGCAUUGUAUGCGGGUUCGUGCUUGCAGAGCUUGCAGCUCGCGUCUGGGUAUUGUGUUGAAUUUACUCUGUCUAAAUGUACUGGGUUUCGGAAUAUUCUGGUUUGCAACCUCCUCCAAUCUGUUUCUUGAAACCUGUCGAGUUGUUUGCGGGGUUGUGGGUAUGUUUCUCCUCGUUUCGUAUAGUGUGUCAGUAUGUCGUGGUACGUGACCAGUCUGUGCCUGUUGUUUCGUAUCGCUACUUCGUUGUCGUUGCCUCCCCGCUGUCCUUCCCCUUUCCCCGGGGGUUGCGGGGUGUUGUGCCGUCACUGUCCGAGACGCGGUGGAUUAGUUCUCGCGCGGCUCGGUCGGCCUUCUCAUUGAGGUUGGGAGGGCCAUUCGUGGUUACUUCUCCCAUAUGUACUGGGAUCCAUUUGAGGUAUUUGGGUCAUGUCAGAGAAACACAAAUGUAUUGUUCCAAAAUGGUACAGUGUUACUCCGCUGCUAGAAAGGUGAUUUAGAAGAGCUCUCUAACUCCAUUGACUAAAUUUUCAGAGGUGAUUGCAAUGGGUGAUUCCCCUGUUACUCUGGUAUUGCUAGUCUGGUGCUUACUGUCAGUGAUAUACACAGCAUGCCAGUCUUGGAGCUCAACUUUCAAGAGCCAAUUAAGAGGCAUGUCAUGGGUGAUUUAAUAAGCUUAUUAGGCUUCUUUUUAAACAAACAAUUAAUUUAUUCUUUAUUUUUGCUGUCAUUUUGAUGGCCUGUCUAUGCUUUUUGUUUUCAAAGGCCAUAUUAUUUUCAUAAUUAUGGCCUUCAAUGUUUAAUUGUAAUAUCCCUUAUAAUCCACAGUGAUUACUCGUAAAAGAGAAAUCAAUAUAGAACAAACAGUAGAUGUGGGUAAAUGUAUGUGCAUUGACUUGAACAGUCACCUGCAAAAGUUUAAAGUCAGGUUGCUCAAUGGAUUGAAUAAUCUCAGUUGGAAAGCAGCACUAAGUGUGUUCAUAUGCCCCUCACUCAUCCAGUAUACGUAAAUGUAACCAAAUGUAGUAUAUGUAACCAACACACUCUCAGACUUUAGCGCAAUAAGUUAAUAUGUUGUGUUAUGCUGUUGAGUUGAGACUGUGAAUGGAACGAUUAUUAAAAUGAGCAAGCUAGAGACAACUAUUGCAGUGUUUAUAAUUUGUGGUAAUUGCAGCAUGAUAUUGCAAAAGAACAUAAAUAAUGCUCCUCUCAAUGUUUCUAUCUAUGCCUUUCGUUCAUCUCUUAGUCUCUCUGAAAUUAAGCAGCAGAGCAUGGCACAAGCACUGCUGCUUACGUUUAUAAUGGAGUCAUCAGUGGGUUUCAGACAGAGGCAACUCCUGUCCCUUAUGCACAUAUGUUUUGGUAUUUUCAAGACUGUUCCUGUCAUACCAAAGCCAAGGCUCACUGGCCCCUCAUGGUAUUGAAGCUUGCUCACCAAUUACUCAGAGUGGAUGAUACAUUUUCUGGAUUUUGUCAGGUGCCAUCUGUCUUGCCCUAAUCAUGGUAUGAAAGGUCACAGCAAAUUUAAUAACAAGCUGCUCAAGAAUGUGUCCCAGCUAGUGUCGCAACAUACCCCCUGGGUUCAUUCUUAAGACUGGGAAAACAUGGGGAAGGCAGGAAAUGGAAAUUCAAGACGAUGAGCAAACCGAGAACAAGAUGAAAGCAGGAGCCAAUGUUUCAACAAGUGGACUUGUCUUCUUCAAGGCGACAUAUGCUUUCCUCGCCACAGUUACAGAUAUUAAGAAUCAAUUUGGUUGAUGCCCAGCCUGAUACUCCGUGAUUAUA